rnacentral:misc_RNA from 1 species
GAUGAAGAACGUAGCGAAAUGCGAUAAGUAAUGUGAAUUGCAGAAUUCAGUGAAUCAUCGAAUCUUUGAACGCACAUUGCGCCCGCCAGCAUUCUGGCGGGCAUGCCUGUUCGAGCGUCAUUUCAACCCACGAGCCCCCCCGGGGGCCUCGGUGUUGGGGGACGGCACACCAGCCGCCCCCGAAAUGCAGUGGCGACCCCGCCGCAGCCUCCCCUGCGUAGUAGCACACACCUCGCACCGGAGCGCGGAGGCGGUCACGCCGUAAAACGCCCAACUUUCUUAGAGUUGACCUCGGAUCAGGUAGGAAUACCCGCUGAACUUAAGCAUAUCAAUAAGCGGAGGA